rnacentral:lncRNA from 1 species
AGGUGCAUGCUGCAGGCCAGUGCUUCCUGCAGAAAUUCAUUGUGCAGGCAACUAGAAACUGCCCUGAUGCUGGAGGCAGGAGGUGCCGCCCUGCAUUAGUGAGUGGAGCAUGGUCCUUUCACCAUGCUGCAGCUGGUUGCUGCACCCUGACUUCUGAGUGCCUCUGGGAGAUGCGGAGGCUGGGGCUGUCCCACCUCACUGGAGCACCUUGGGCAGGAGCCGGGGCCACCCUGCGCUCCCUCUGCGGUCAGUGGAGCACCUGGGCCCUUUGGGGGUUAUGUGGAGCAGCUAUCCAUGGUGAGUGGAUAGUCAGUGUUUCUCACUAAACGGGCUUGCCUCUCAGGGCCCUCAGCUGCUUGCCCAGUUGUUAUUGCAUUGCUGCAGGCUGGAGGUGCCAAAGCCACAAGAGCAAAGGCAGAGCUCUGCCCCUCCGAAAGCAGCAGGGUCCCGAACUGUGAAGGUGCUAGUGAACCAUCAAGUUCAAGCCCAUAAUGCCUCUACUAGCUCCUGGCCAAUGACUAGUUAACCCCAGUUCAAUUUUUAACUUUCCCAGCAGACAUGAGCCCCGUUUUACCAAGAUCAUGUGGCCCUCUCAGACACUCAGGCACUGACAAAGCAGUAACCUUGCUGGAUUUCCCCUUCUUCCCCUGAUGAAAACCAUCACUUCCUUCUCCGGCAGGCAGCAAUCCCAGCGUUGCUCUGUGGCAGCACGGUGGCAAACGCAGCCCCGCAGGACCCAAGCGCCUCUGCCUGCCGACGGACCGUUCCCAGGCCGCCCGUCCGGGACUCCGCUGCUCCUGACCAGCUGCAAAGGGCUGGCUCCAGCGAGGAACGGAGUGCGGCACUCUUGUUUGUCGCGGCCCCUUGCUGGGUGCAYGGGCUGUUCCCUGUCUCGGGCUGCCACUGGCACAGUGCACCAGAGGAACCAGCACACAGGAGCUCCUGGUGCCUCCACUUGGGAAACGGGGAAGGUACCCUUCUCACACUGCUCCCAAGGAGCAUCAGCUGGAACAACGGAGGAGUGGAGGCUCGAGCAGACACUGCUCCAUCUUUUGCCACAGCCGCAGCAGGAGCAAGGUGGUUGGGGUUCAUGGGGAGGUGUGGGUGGAGACUGAGAGCAGGGAGUAAGAAUAGUCCUUGCAGCACCGUGUACACACCUGUCAACCUAAUUAAAG